ACUCAGGAUCCCACCCCACCCCCUUCCAUCCCCUCCCCUUUUCCGCCUGCUCUAGCUGGUGGAUCCAUGGUUAUCGGCUGGUCCCCACUGCCGCAGCGAGGGAUUCAUCGAUUCAGUCAUUCAGUGAGUGGGGGACUAGGUUUUGUUCAGGAUGUGAAAUUGGAACUGAUAAUACAAGGAAGAAGAAGAAGAAGAAGAAGCUGACUGAAUUUGUUAGCAUGCCGUGGCCGACCCCAAGAAAACAUUGCACCUGCAGGCCCUGGAUGGAGCCAAGGACAUUGCUAAUCUUCUCUGCUCCUCCUAAUCUUCUCUGAACCAGAAAACUGGUGCUGCUACUGACGCCCAUACUGCUGCCCCUCUUUCUCUCCCAGUUGAUUCGUCAUCUCGGGUCAUAAUUUUUCUGCAUUCCCUGUUGCUGUAGCUUGUUGGAUGCAUAGUUUGAUCUCCCAAUGGGAAUUAUUAGUAAAUGGUGAUGUCUGUGGUCACGAGAUCCUUGGUUGCAUCUGGUUUCUUAGUGACGUUUCCGCAGUUUGCAAAAUGCUGUGAUGAAUCAUGAAAUCUACGACGUAUGUCAGACAUCAGAGAUGCCAUUUGGCAUUGAUGAGAAGAUAUUUCAUAUUCUAAGCAAUAAUGUUGCAUUUCAUACCGAUAGUUGCCAAACUAUAAAUUGUUAUAGCCUUUUUUCUUGCUGUCCAUGCAUGCUUAUAUGUUUGAGGGUCAAGUGAUGAGGAAUAAACCAUCAACAAUAUGAUGGAGCUCUUCUCCUCUGAUUCUUAGUAUUUAAGUCCCUGAUGGUACCUCAACACCCUAAUAUGUUUGUGGCUUUCUAUGCUAUCCACAUACUGAAGGAAGUUCUGCUAUCUUCACAACAAAUAUAAUUUUGCUUGAACGAGUUUAUAAAUUGAACUAUCUCCACAACAAAGAUAUUUACCACAAUGAGAAACUGCAACAAUAUGACAGGAGUUACACUCCCGUGAUUCGUAGUUUAAAGUCUGAUGAUUUCUUAUCUUCAAAUAACCGUUGUCUUGUGAAAUGCAAUGCUGCUCACGUUCUUGUUUUCUUAUGAAUUGCUUGAUGCAAUUUCUAAGACGGGUUUCUUUGACAUUGAGGGAAUAUUGUCUUGGUACUUGUAUAUCCAUCAGCUGUUACUGUGCCUUUGUGGCGCAGUCUGAAUCUCUGUAGACCGAUCAUAUCUGAAGCAUGAGCCAAGCACAUCAUGUCUACAGUUUCAGAACGGAAAACCAAUCAUGCUAUAUGUAUUAAGCAACUCCAUUGCAGUCUAAUUUGUUCAGAAUGGAGAUGAAAACUUUGGUUGGUUUGCAUCAUACCUAUAGCCAUAUAUAUAUAAAGCUUCCAUUUAACGUCCAAAGAAUGCAUACCUGAUUUGAGUUAGACUCUAGUCUUGACUAUUUUAUGUAGGUGGCAACUGACAAGUUGAGUUUCAGUCUAGCUCAUCUGAAGUUUCUCUGUAUGCAGGAGGGCGAGCUGGAGGAGCUUGAGAAGGGUGUGUAGCCUGCGUGGGAGCGCUUGGUCCACCCGCUCGAGCGCAUCGUCGACAGGCUGAACGUCGUUGACCACAUCAAGGCCGUCAAGGACUCGCCCGACCUCUGUGCCGCCGUCAAGGAUCUCCAGAUGGUGGCCUCUAUUCAUGUUUUGUUGUGAGCUCCAGGAUGAAGAAGUUGGAAGAAGCAAUGCAUGCUGGAUUUAGGCAUGCAUGCAUGCUCUAGUAUCCUGUGAUGCUCCUGAUUAUGAUUUAAUCGUACACUAAUCAUGCACGCAAAUGUGUACGAUCAAGAUCAGGAACUCACGAGAAUAUAUCACAAUACAACUAUACAACA